GAACUACCGGUGCACUGCCCCCUCCAGGUCGACUACCCAAAUUUCUGCAGGUGGUUGCCCUGCUGCAGCCUGACGGACUGCUUUGUUAUCCCCUUGGCGCUCUCAGUUCGUCGCCCCCACCGCUUAUGGUUGGACUGCUCAAUGCUCUGUUAUCCCUCUCAGGCUUCAGUCCGCACCACCGCGGCCACCGAGCGGCGAUGUUCCCGGCUGGGCGGCCAUGCCGCCAAGCAGUAAUAUCCCAUGUAGAGUUGAUAGAUGCUGAAACAUCAGGUUAACACCACGGAUAUGUCUGUUGUAACCUUUGAAGGCUUGGGGAUAUGCGUGAGCAAGGAUGGCACCACACCAGUAUGUCAGAUCGAUAUGUUCUUUUGUAACUAUAAAAAGCCUGACCUUGGCCAUCCAAUGGAGUCUAAGUGCCUUGAUCUGGAUGCACCUGGUGUGUGCACUUUUUUGUCCUUUGAUAUGCACAAAAGCUCAUGGCUGGGAGAGCUGCAGUAUACGGGCGGGCAGUCGAGUCCUCAGCUAAAGACAGUGCCGCGAUGUGAAGCAGCUCACAAAUGAAGAAAUGUGAAGUUCAGAUAUAGAAAAAAAGCUGCAGCCGUUGCUCCUGGUACUUGGUCUCGCCAACGACCUCACAACCAGACCCGCGGGGUUCGGGAGCACCAGGCUGUUCUGUGUUUGUUGUCCGACCGGUAGUUUUGUGAGACGUUCAGAUAUAGGAACCCAAUCUCCAAAAGGUAAUUAAGACCCAGGUCAGCCUACUCAUCUCGAUAAUAACCUACUUAAAUGUGAGCAGUUCAAUUAGACCAAAUAGGGAGUUCUCAUUCCUGUUAAAAAUAUAUAGAUGAAAAAUGCCCUCAGCACACUUGUUAGUUUAUUUGGUGGUGGAGAAGUUUAGAUAUUCUUCGGAGGAAGUUCAAUCUAUGUUUUUGAAAAGUACAGUAUGCUUUUAUUUAAUUUUGGUUUGAUUUGUGUGCUUUUAGCUUGCAAUUAUUUAAUCUAGGUUUCGUCGGGACGGGUGCGGAUGGGUGAAGUUCACUUCUUCUAAUCAUUAUAGUUCAGUUCUCCUUAGUACCAUCUGUGACCCAGUAGCCAUGGCGCAGUUUACUGUAGGCCAUGUUGCAGUUUGCUCUUUGUACAUUGGAAGUUCGCCUUAUAUAAAUAAUAAGUCCGUUCAUACUGCUGGUUACAAAAGAUGAUUGCUGUGAACAAUAUCUUAUAUUUGAAAAAAGUACUAUAACUUGCGAUAUAGAAGGAAAAAAUAAGUUCAUAUUGUUCACAUGUGAAGUUUACAUUUUAUAUUCCAGGAGCUCUUUUUGUGCUAGUCUAUUGAACUGCUGAUUGUUUGGUGCAACUGCAGAUGGAUUUCAUUUGAAGACUCCUCAUUCUAAUCUGUGAAGCUCACUUCUCGUAAUCUGUGAAGCUCACUUCUCUUAA